AUACGUAGGGAGCGAGCGUUGUCCGGAUUUACUGGGUGUAAAGGGUGCGUAGGCGGCAAGGCAAGUCAGGUGUGAAAGGUAUGGGCUUAACCCGUAGACUGCACUUGAAACUGUGUUGCUUGAGUGAAGUAGAGGCAGGCGGAAUUCCCGGUGUAGCGGUGAAAUGCGUAGAGAUCGGGAGGAACACCAGUGGCGAAGGCGGCCUGCUGGGCUUUAACUGACGCUGAGUCACGAAAGCAUGGGUAGCAAACAGGAUUAGAUACCCUGGUAGUCCAUGCUGUAAACGAUGAUUACUAGGUGUGGGUGGACUGACCCCAUCCGUGCCGGAGUUAACACAAUAAGUAAUCCACCUGGGAAGUACGACCGCAAGGUUGAA
rnacentral:rRNA from 1 species